ACAGCGGUAUCGUAAUGCCUGGUGACUUUGGUUGUCCGUAGGACAACCUAGCUACUCCUGAAAUGGAACGGGACAGACUGAAAUCGAAGCCCAGGGUGAGCCGCUCC
rnacentral:sRNA from 12 species